CAGCCGCCGCGGGAAUACGGAGGAUCCAAGCGUUAUCCGGAAUCAUUGGGUUUAAAGGGUCCGUAGGCGGUCUUGUAAGUCAGUGGUGAAAGCCCAUCGCUCAACGGUGGAACGGCCAUUGAUACUGCAGGACUUGAAUUAUUGGGAAGUAACUAGAAUAUGUAGUGUAGCGGUGAAAUGCUUAGAGAUUACAUGGAAUACCAAUUGCGAAGGCAGGUUACUACCAAUUGAUUGACGCUGAUGGACGAAAGCGUGGGUAGCGAACAGGAUUAGAUACCCCCGUAGUCCUGUCUCUUAUACC
rnacentral:rRNA from 1 species